UACGGAGGGGGCGAGCGUUGUCCGGAGUUACUGGGCGUAAAGCGCGCGCAGGCGGCCCUGUGCGCUGCCGGUGAAAGCUCCCGGCUUACCUGGGAGAGGUUCGGCAGGACGGCAGGGCUGGAGGGUGGGAGAGGUCGGUGGAAUUCCCGGUGUAGUGGUGAAAUGCGUAGAGAUCGGGAGGAACACCCGUAGCGAAGGCGGCCGACUGGACCACACCUGACGCUGAGGCGCGAAGGCCAGGGGAGCGAACGGG
rnacentral:rRNA from 1 species